rnacentral:rRNA from 1 species
GACGAACGCUGGCGGCGUGCUUAACACAUGCAAGUCGAGCGGAAAGGCCCUUCGGGGUACUCGAGCGGCGAACGGGUGAGUAACACGUGAGUAAUCUGCCUCUGGCUCUGGGAUAGCCACCGGAAACGGUGAUUAAUACCGGAUAUGACGCUGCCCUGCAUGGGGUGGUGUGGAAAGUUUUUUCGGCCAGGGAUGUGCUCGCGGCCUAUCAGCUUGUUGGUGGGGUAAUGGCCUACCAAGGCUUCGACGGGUAGCCGGCCUGAGAGGGUGACCGGCCACACUGGGACUGAGACACGGCCCAGACUCCUACGGGAGGCAGCAGUGGGGAAUAUUGGACAAUGGGCGGAAGCCUGAUCCAGCAACGCCGCGUGAGGGAUGACGGCCUUCGGGUUGUAAACCUCUUUCAGCACCGACGAAGCGAGAGUGACGGUAGGUGCAGAAGAAGGACCGGCCAACUACGUGCCAGCCGCCGCAGUAACAC